UCUUAUGGAUGAGCAAAGAAUGUAGUUUCUUGAGAUGGAAUCUACUCCUAGUGAAGAUACCAUGAA
rnacentral:pre_miRNA from 1 species